AUUGAACGCUGGCGGCAUGCCUUACACAUGCAAGUCGAACGGUAACAGGUCUUCGGAUGCUGACGAGUGGCGAACGGGUGAGUAAUAUAUCGGAACGUGCCCAGUCGUGGGGGAUAACGCAGCGAAAGCUGUGCUAAUACCGCAUACGAUCUAUGGAUGAAAGCGGGGGAUCGCAAGACCUCGCGCGAUUGGAGCGGCCGAUAACAGAUUAGGUAGUUGGGGGGGUAAAGGCCCACCAAGCCAACGAUCUGUAGCUGGUCUGAGAGGACGACCAGCCACACUGGAACGGAGACGCGGUCCAGACUCCUACGGGAGGCAGCAGUGGGAAAUUUUGGGCGAUGGGCGCAAGCCUGAUCCAGCCAUGCCGCGUGCGGGAAGAAGGCCUUCGGGUUGUAAACCGCUUUUGUCAGGGAAGAAACGCUCCGGGCUAAUACCCUGGGGUAAUGACGGUACCUGAAGAAUAAGCACCGGCUAACUACGUGCCAGCAGCCGCAGUAAAAC
rnacentral:rRNA from 1 species